AAUGCUUUACAGAAUUUUUUAAAUUUUUAAAAUUUGUCUUAAUUCUUUUUAUUUUUAAUUAAUUUAUUUAUUUAGAGAGAGAGACAGAGAGUGCGAAUCCCAAGCAGGCUCCACACUCUCAGGAUGGAACUUGAAGAAGGCUUGAACUCCUGAGCCAUGAGAUCAUAACCUGAUUCGAAGUCAUGAGUUGGAUGCUUACCCAACUGAGCUACCCAGGCACCGCAAAUUUUAAUUCUUAUAGGCACGGAAGUGAGGAGCGGAAGGAGAGAGAACGAAUCUUAAGCAGACUCUCUGCUCAGUGCAGAGCCCAACAUGGGGCUCAGUCCCACAACUCUGGGAUCGUGACCUGAGCCAAAAUCAAGAGUUGGACUUUCAACUGACGAGACAACCAGGUGCCCCAUGCUUUUUUGAUCAUAAAAAGAUAGAAUUCAAUAUUUCAUUACAUAUAGCUGGAGGAUUUUCAUGGAUGCUCUAUCAAAUUUGGCAAGUUCUCUUCUAUUCCUAGCUUGCUGAGAGUUUUUAUCAUGAAGGGAUAUUAUAUUUUGUAAGAUACUUUUUAAAAAAGUUUUUGUUUAUUUAUUUUGAGAGAGCAGGCAGGGUAGGGGCAGAGAGAGGGAGAAAGAGAAUCAUAAGCAGGCUCCACACUGUCAGCACAGAGCCCAAUGCAGGGCUAGAACCACGAACUGUGAGAUCAUGACCUGUGCUAAAAUGAAGAGUUGGACACCUAACUGAACUGAACCACCCAGAUGCCUCUAUAAGAUACUUUUUCUGAAUCUACUGAAGUGAUAUGUCUUUUCUCCUUUAUUCAACUAAUAUGAUGAAUAAAAUUGGCAUUUGACUGUUAAAUUGGAUCAUAUUGUAUUUCCUUAUAUAUAUUUUCAGAUUAAAUUUGUGAAAUAGAAAAAUAUGCAUUGGUCUCUGCCCACCUGACCCCUGCCCUGUUCUUGUUACCUGGUAUAGAGUUUCUACAACCCUUGUAAUUUCCUAAGUGGCAAGGGUGCUAGGAGUAUCUUUUGUUCUAAUAUUUGGUCUUUGACCUGGUUCCUGACACAGAGUUCCUAUAUUCUUUGAAAUUUUCUGGCUAAUAGGAGUGUCUUUUGUUCCAACAAGGCAACUUCUGGUGAUCCUCUGGAAGGGGGAUGGUCGCCAGAAAUACCGGGCCAUGAUUAGAAGCUUGGAAUCUUCAGCCCCACUCCUCUCGUGGGAAGGAGAGAACGGCUAAAGAGUGAGUUAAUGGUUGAUUAUGCAUGUGUUGAAGCUUCAUAAAAAUCCCAAAAGUACAGGGUUUGGAGAGCGUCUAGACUGGUGAGUGCAUUCAUGUACUUGAAGGUGGUGUACCCCAGCGACAUGGGGACAGAAGCUACUUUGGCUCAGGACUCUUCCAGACUUUACCCUAUGUUACUCCUCAUCUGGCUAUUCAUUAGUAUCCUUUAUGAUAUCCUUUAUUUUAUAAUAAAUAAGUAAACAUAAUUGAGUGUUCCCUGAGUCCUGCAAGCUAUUCUAGCAAAUGCUCAAACCUAAGGAGGGGAUCAUAGGAACCCCAAUUUAUGGCCAUUUGGUUAAGAGUACAGGCAACAACCUGGGACUUAUGAUUGGCAUCUCAAAAGGUGGGGGCUGGAUCAUUUUGUGGGACUGAGCCCUUAACCUGUGGGGUCUGUGCUACCUCCAGGAACAUAGCAUCAGAAUUGAGUUAAAUUGUAGGAAAUCCAACCGGUGGUAGAAAAUUGCUUGGUAGGGUGAAAAUUCCCAAACAUUUGGUGACCAAAGGUGAAAUGAAGUGUCAUAGUAGUGUAAAUGUAAAGAAGCACAGGAGAAGUGUGUUUUCCCUACUCAAUUUCUUUCUGUCUGUCCGUCUUUCCUUCCUUCCUUCCUUCCAGCCCAAUAUGGGGCUUGAACUCACAACUCCAAGAUCAAGAGUUGCAUGCUCUACCAACUGAGCCAGCCACGUGCCCCUCUUUUUUUUAAAUUCCAGUAUAAUUAAUGUACAGUGUUGUAUGAGUUUCAGGUGUACAAUAUACUGAUUCAGCAGUUCCAUACGUUACUCAGUGCUCAUCAAGAUGAAUGUACUCUUAAUCCCCUUUACCUAUUUUACCCAUCCCCCCACCAAUUUCUCCUCUGGUAACCAUAGUUCUCUAUAUUGAAGAGUCUGUUAUUUUGUCUUUUUUUCUUUGUUUUCUUAAAUUCCACAUGAGUAAAACCAUAUGGUAUUUGUCUUUCUCUUUCUGACUUCUUUCAUUUAGCAUUAUACUCUCUAGAUCCAUCCAUGCUGCAAAUGGCAAGAUUUCGUUUUUUAUGGCUGAGUAAUAUUUAAUUGUAUAUAUUACACCACAUCUUCGUCUAUUGCUGGAUACUUGGGUUGCUUCCAUAUCCCAGCUAUUAGAAAUAAUGCUGCAAAAAAACAUAGGGGCGAAUAUACCUUUUCAAAUUAGUGUGUUUCAUAUUCCUUGUGUAAAUACUCAGUAGUGGAAUUAAUUACUGGAUCAUAUGGUAAUUCUGUUUCUGAGUUUUUGAGGCACCAUCAUUGCUGUUUUCCACAGUGUACAUUCCCACCCACGAGGCAGGAGGGUUCCUUUGUCUCUAUAUCCUCACUAACACUUGCUGUUUCUUGUGCUUUUUAUUUUAGCCAUUCUGACUGAUGUGAGGUGAUUGUAGUUUGGGUUUGCAUUUCCCUGAUAAUCAGUGUUGUUGAACAGCCUUUCACAUGUCUGUUGGCCAUCUGUAGGUCUUCUUUGGAGAAAUGUCUAUUCAUGUCUUCUGCCCAAUCAAAAAAAAUUUUUUUAAUGUUUAUUUUUGAGACAGAGAGAGACAGAGUGUGAGCAGGGGAGGGGGAGAGAGAGACGGCGACACAGAAUCUGAAGCAGGCUCCAGACUCUGAGCUGUCAGCACAGAGCCCAAUGUGGGGCUUGAACUGACGGACUGUGAGAUCAUGAUCUGAGCUGAAGUCGUACACUUAACCAACUGAGCCACACAGGUGCCCCUCUUCUGCCCAAUUUUUAAUUGGAUUAUUUGGUUUUUGGGUGUUGAGUUGUGUAAGUUCUUUAUAUAUUUUGGAUAGAUAUAUAUUACCUAUACACACACACACCCUUUAUCGGGCAUGUCACUUGCAAAUUAUUUUCUCCCAUUUAGUCAGUUGUCUUUUACUUUUGUUGAUUAUUUCCUUUGCUUUGCAUAAGCAAACUGUUUCAUUUAGUUUUUUUCUUAUUUCCUUCUAGGUGCUGUUUUU
rnacentral:lncRNA from 1 species